rnacentral:rRNA from 1 species
GAUCAUGGCUCAGGGCGAACGCUGGCGGCGUGCCUAAUACAUGCAAGUCGAGCGAAGUUUUUCUGGUGCUUGCACUAGAAAAACUUAGCGGCGAACGGGUGAGUAACACGUAAAGAACCUGCCUCAUAGACGGGGACAACUAUUGGAAACGAUAGCUAAUACCGGAUAACAGCAUAAAUCGCAUGAUAUAUGUUUAAAAGUUGGUUUCGGCUAACACUAUGAGGUGGCUUUGCGGUGCAUUAG